rnacentral:rRNA from 1 species
CCUACGGGAGGCAGCAGUGGGGAAUAUUGGACAAUGGGGGGAACCCUGAUCCAGCCAUGCCGCGUGUGUGAAGAAGGCCCUCGGGUUGUAAAGCACUUUCAGUGAGGAAGAACGCCUGGUGGUUAAUACCCAUCAGGAAAGACAUCACUCACAGAAGAAGCACCGGCUAACUCCGUGCCAGCAGCCGCGGUAAUACGGAGGGUGCGAGCGUUAAUCGGAAUUACUGGGCGUAAAGCGCGCGUAGGUGGCUUGAUAAGCCGGUUGUGAAAGCCCCGGGCGCAACCUGGGAACGGCAUCCGGAACUGUCAAGCUAGAGUGCAGGAGAGGAAGGUAGAAUUCCCGGUGUAGCGGUGAAAUGCGUAGAGAUCGGGAGGAAUACCAGUGGCGAAGGCGGCCUUCUGGACUGACACUGACACUGAGGUGCGAAAGCGUGGGUAGCAAACAGGAUUAGAUACCCUGGUAGUC